AGAGUUUGAUCCUGGCUCAGGACGAACGCUGGCGGCGUGCCUAACACAUGCAAGUCGAGCGGGGACAUGGAGUAGCAAUACGAAAUGUUCUAGCGGCGGACGGGUGAGUAACGCGUGAGCAACCUGUCCCAGUCAGGGGGAUAACGAGCCGAAAGGCUCCCUAAUACCGCAUGAGACCACAGCAUCACAUGGUGCAGGGGUCAAAGGAGAAAUCCGGACUGGGGUGGGCUCGCGUCUGAUUAGCUAGUUGGUGAGGUAAAGGCCCACCAAGGCGACGAUCAGUAGCCGACCUGAGAGGGUGAUCGGCCACAUUGGAACUGAGACACGGUCCAAACUCCUACGGGAGGCAGCAGUGGGGAAUAUUGGGCAAUGGGCGAAAGCCUGACCCAGCAACGCCGCGUGAAGGAAGAAGGUCUUCGGAUCGUAAACUUCUAUCCUUGGUGAAGAUAAUGACGGUAGCCGAGAAGGAAGCCCCGGCUAACUACGUGCCAGCAGCCGCGGUAAUACGUAGGGGGCAAGCGUUGUCCGGAAUGAUUGGGCGUAAAGGGCGCGUAGGCGGCCUGGUAAGUCUGGAGUGAAAGUCCUGCUUUUAAGGUGGGAAUUGCUUUGGAUACUGUCGGGCUUGAGUGCAGGAGAGGUAAGCGGAAUUCCCGGUGUAGCGGUGAAAUGCGUAGAGAUCGGGAGGAACACCAGUGGCGAAGGCGACUUACUGGACUGUAACUGACGCUGAGGCGCGAAAGUGUGGGGAGCAAACAGGAUUAGAUACCCUGGUAGUCCACACUGUAAACGAUGAAUGCUAGGUGUAGGGGGUAUCGACCCCUUCUGUGCCGGAGUCAACACAAUAAGCAUUCCGCCUGGGGAGUACGGCCGCAAGGUUGAAACUCAAAGGAAUUGACGGGGGCCC
rnacentral:rRNA from 1 species